GAUGAAGAACGUAGCGAAAUGCGAUAAGUAGUGUGAAUUGCAGAAUUCAGUGAAUCAUCGAAUCUUUGAACGCACAUUGCGCCCCUUGGUAUUCCAUGGGGCAUGCCUGUUCGAGCGUCAUUUGUACCUUCAAGCUUUGCUUGGUGUUGGGUGUUUGUCUCGCCUUUGCGUGUAGACUCGCCUUAAAAUAAUUGGCAGCCGGCGUAUUGAUUUCGGAGCGCAGUACAUCUCGCGCUUUGCACUCAUAACGACAGAGUCCAAAAGUACAUUUUACACUCUUGACCUCGGAUCAGGUAGGGAUACCCGCUGAACUUAAGCAUAUCAAUAAGCGAGGA
rnacentral:misc_RNA from 1 species